UGCCCCAUGGCUGAGUUGGUUACAGCGUCCGACUGUUAAAAGCAAUAGCUUGUAAUAGUGAAAUCGGAAGGUCGAGAGUUCGAGCCUCUCUGGGGCAG
rfam:Piloderma croceum F 1598 unplaced genomic scaffold scaffold_00004, whole genome shotgun sequence.